UGAUGGAGUCGGAGGGAGGGAGCGAGUUGAGGAAGCGAGCGGCGGCGAUGGCAGACAAGGCGAAGGAGGCGUGGAAGGAUGGAGGGUCGUCCGAGGCGGCGUGGGUGGAGGUGGUGAAGGUUAUCAAGAACGGUGGCAACGGAGUCCGUGGAUGACUCGAUUUCUUGCGCUAAAUAUUCAGAUAGCUUUUUAUUUUUUUAAGGAUGCUUGUUAUAUCUUUCGUUGAAAUAAUAUAGAUGUGAAAGUGA
rnacentral:lncRNA from 1 species